rnacentral:rRNA from 1 species
GUUUUUUAUUGAACAAAUUUCUUUGGUGGCGGGAGCAAUCCUACCGCCAGAGGUUAUAACUAAACCAAACUUUUUAUUUACAGUCAAACUUGAUUUAUUAUUACAAUAGUCAAAACUUUCAACAACGGAUCUCUUGGUUCUCGCAUCGAUGAAGAACGCAGCGAAAUGCGAUACGUAAUAUGAAUUGCAGAUAUUCGUGAAUCAUCGAAUCUUUGAACGCACAUUGCGCCCUUUGGUAUUCCAAAGGGCAUGCCUGUUUGAGCGUCAUUUCUCCCUCAAACCCCCGGGUUUGGUGUUGAGCAAUACGCUAGGUUUGUUUGAAAGAAUUUACGUGGAAACUUAUUUUAAGCGACUUAGGUUUAUCCAAAACGCUUAUUUUGCUAGUGGCCACCACAAUUUAUUUCAUAACUUUGACCUCAAAUCAGGUAGGACUACCCGCUGAACUUAAGCAUAUCAAUAA